AACGAACGCUGGCGGCAGGCCUAACACAUGCAAGUCGAGCGCUCUAGCAAUAGAGAGCGGCGCACGGGUGAGUAACGCGUAGGAAUCUACCUUGUAGUACGGAACAACAGUUGGAAACGACUGCUAAUACCGUAUACGCCCUUCGGGGGAAAGAAUUUCGCUAUAAGAUGAGCCUGCGUUAGAUUAGCUAGUUGGCGAGGUAAUGGCUCACCAAGGCUCCGAUCUAUAGCUGGUCUGAGAGGAUGAUCAGCCACACUGGGACUGAGACAAGGCCCAGACUCCUACGGGAGGCAGCAGUGGGGAAUAUUGGGCAAUGGGCGCAAGCCUGACCCAGCCAUGCCGCGUGAGUGAUGACGGCCUUAGGGUUGUAAAGCUCUUUUAGUGGUGAGGAUGAUGACGGUAACCACAGAAAAAGCCCCGGCUAACUUCGUGCCAGCAGCCGCCGUAA
rnacentral:rRNA from 1 species